CAAACUGUGUGAUUUACAGCAGAAACGUAUUGUCCCCCAGUUCUGGAGGCCAAGAGCACUGGGGGACAAUACGUUUGCUUCCUCUCCUUGUUCAGGAGGCUUCUUUCCUGCCUCUUCGCAGCUGCUGGUGGUUUGUUGGCCAUCCUGAGUGUUCUUUAACUUGCAAGCACAUUGCUCUGGACUCUUCCUUCAUUAUCACGUGGCAUUCUCCGUGUGUGUCUCUCUUUGACAUCUUAUAAGAGCACAGUCUCAUUGGAUGAAGGGCCCAACCUACUCCAGGAUGACCUCUGCUUAACUAAUUAUAUCUGUAACAACCCACUUUCCAAACAAAGUCACACUCUGAGAUGCCAGGGUAAGCAUUAGGUCUUCAAAAUAUCUUUGCUUUGGAGGUCACAAUUCAACCCAUAACACUGCGUUGCUUGUUCCUAGUGACAAAGCUGAGGACUUGCAUAGGUCUAGGAGUGGGUGUGAACUGUGUCCUGUGGUGCUGCCUGGCAGUGUCAGGGAGAAGGGUCAGGAGGAGCACAUAACCUCUGUUUCUGGCAUUCUCUAGAGAAGUGUGCUGCAGUGGGGUCCAGCUGUGCUCCAGGGGAGGAGCUUCACCUUCCUGUCACUCUCCAUAUCUUAGAUCGAGUGGGGCAGACUGUUGACAGAGGGGAACAAACAGACCAUCUGGGUUCCAGGCAGACUUAACUGUUGAGGAACAUUGGGAACUCCACCUGCCCUUCAGCUGGAGGCCUUAGAGCUCCCCAGAUUCAUGGGAACCUGAAUUAUUGGGCAGUUUACCCAAAGGGAGGUAGCAGGGCAUCCCUUUCCCCUGGGAGAGGGGAGCUACUGGGCUCAGUUAGCUUAUUGCCAGGCAAUCCAGAGAGAGUCCCAGGUGCCAGAUUUUGACAACCUGCUUGUUUCCAAACCUAGUAAAACUUGGACCCUAUGUUGCCAACUGGUCUGCUUCUCUAGUUUGGGAAUCCAUUGGCAGCCUGUAGAUGUGUUUUGUUCACAGUGGCUGCUAUGUGCAAUGUCUUUAUAUUAUUUUUUGUAUAAGCAAAUACUUUCACAUGCUUGAAAAAUCAAAUCACUGUAGAAAGAUAUUUAGUGAGAUCUUAUCCUUGUCUCCAUCUGUCCAUUCUGCCCCUGCCCCAGUAACCCCUUUUAUUACUUUCUUAUGUAUAUGUUCAGGGCUUCUUUUUGCAAAUAUGAGCCUAUUCAAAUACAUAAUAUGAAUCCUUUCCUUUCUUACAUAAUUUUAGCAUACUGUACACACUUUAAACAAAACCUUGUGCUUUUAUUUCACUUAUCUUGUUGGUUUUUUAUUCCUCUAUCAAUCUUUCCAGAAUUUCCUCAUUCUUUCUUACAGAGCCACAGCAUCCCAUUGUAUGGAUGCGUACAAUUUACUUAAACACAGAUAGUUUUCAGUCAUUCAUUAUUACAAAUAAUUCUGCAAUGAAUUUGCUUGCCAUUUUGUACAUGAUAUUUGAACAUGCAUAAUAUUAAAAAAUUCUGAGUUAUCUUUGAAUUAUCAAAAAGCCUCUAAACAGUAGGUUCAAUGACUGUGUGUUGACAGCUGUUUGGGAGGAGUAGUAUCUGUCCCUUUAGGUAGGACUUGCCUGCUCCCAUCUGACAUCUUCCCACCACCUCUCACUGUCUCUCAUGAAGCUCAAAGGUUGAUUCCCAUUUAGUGUCACAAUUAUGUUGUUUCUCUUACAGAGAUUAAGAAGCAAGGGAAAUCACUCUUAUAUUCAAGUUUCUUCAAAGUAGGAAGUGAGAGCCAUGGAGUCUGUCUUUUCCAGCCCAGAGGGAAAGGGUGGAUUUCCAUGUGAAUAUGAUUCUGCUUCAUUUGCACCUGACUACUUGGCCCAUGUCAGUUACAUGUUUGGACACUUUUGCGUUUGACCUGCCUUGUUAGAUUCAUGCCAUUCCCUCAUUGCAAAAGCAGAAGGGUAGGAACUCAGUUCUCUGGUUGCUUUAGCACUGAGCAGGUGCUUGAGAUCAGCAAUAAACAAUGAACGAGACCAUGAAAAGCAUUGUUGUAUUACACAUAUGAUCUCACCUGAAACCCAUGAGGAGGUGGUAUUACUAUCCUCAUUUUACAGAUAAGGAAGCAUCAGCAGAGUGAAAAAUUUUCACCACUACCCUUAACUCAUACAUGGUAAAACUAGGAUUGAAAUGCAUGCAGUUCUGGCUAAAACUUGGUGUUUAAGCCAAUAUAUCAUAUUGCCUUUAUAAAAAAAUAGGUGUGGUUUAUAGUUACCUUUCACACCUUCUAAGUAUGUCAUCAUUAAUGUUGUGGUGAUAAUGGGCAUGACUAAGGUUAAAGCAUCUCUGAAAACAGGUGACAUAGCCACAUGACCCAGAGAAAGCAUUUUUGUUCUGUCAAGGGUGACAGCUCACCCUUCAUGGCCUUUCACAUUUUCUCAAUUGGAUUAUCUCUACCACCACUUUUUGCUCUUCAGACCCCAAACACUUAUUGAACAACCUCUGAAGGCACAAUGUUGGGUUUGAGAGAUAAGAUGAAUAAGCCAUACCCUGGUGCUUGGAGCCAGGUUAGGAUGGGACAACAGAAAGCUUCCACCAGGUAAGUGUAGUAUUGGAGUGAGGUAGACAUGGCAGGCUGGGUCCUGAGUGCAAAAAAAGACAUAAAUUUACAUGGAGUAACAAGGUGGGGGUUUCCAGCUGUCUUGGGUCUUCAUCAUUUUACUUUGCUUGAUGAAGGAAGGAAGUGAGGGCCCGGAAGUGGAGGUUUAAGCUAAGGUAUUGAGCCAUCAUUCUGCCCACAGCCCACGGUGACUGUGACAACAUGAUAAUGACUGCAGCUCUGGAGGCUGUGAGCUCUUUGGAGACUGGCCCAGUCAGGGUUGAAAAGUGGGCUGAAGGAAACUGCCUUUCCCUUCUGCUCUCAGCUUUUCUCAUUCCUGGAUAUUCAUUCAGCCUGUCAACUGGUGGCCUCAUUGUAGGACAUUCACCCUCUUCCCCAGUGAAGAAAUUCUAAACUCAGCCAACUGGGGUGGGGUGGGACCAGGAGAGCACCAUUCACAGGUCACCAUAUUCCACUGAAAAAAUUGCAGCUUAGCAAAAGGAUUUGUCAGUCAGGGAUUCUUUCAUCAUGCUUUCCAUUGUUUCUGCUUUUUCUUCGUCUCUCUCAAGUUGCAUGUAAAACAUAUGUCACCUCUGUUGUUAUCUUAGACUGACUGGGGUUUUGCUUUUUGUUUAUUCUUCAACUGAGUGUGGUGCAAACCACAGCAGCCAACAGGCAGAGGAGGUCCGGAGGGAACCUGUCACUUCUCAUUCAAAUGCUACCUAUUGGUCUUAGGGCAAAUGGUGUUAGUAGUGACAUUGUACAAAACAAAGACAUUGAAACUCAGUCCCUAGUGAUUUCUGGAGCCCUAUUGCUUGUGUCUCUGAUGGAUGAGUAAUUAGGAACUAGUUGUUUACAGUUAAAAGGGAGAAUUGGGAGUCCUUAUGGAAUUCAGAUGUUUCUAGGCAUUUCUAGGUCCACAGCUACAUGUGCUUCCCUGUGCUGACAGCUGCAUGGUGAUAAUAUCCCCCAUACCUUUCUUGACUUAGGAAACUAGUGACAGGAAAGGGAGCAAAAGAUACAGCUGACACACCCUCUUGGGCCAGGCAAAGGAAUGAGGUUGGCCUUGAUCAAUAUUCUCAAUGAGGUCAUUACUGCCCCCUAGAGGGGAUUUGCAAAUUUUCAGAGUUAAACCAGAAGCUCAGUAAUUUAGGAAAGAGAAGUUUAAAAGGAGUAGAAACAAAGUCUUGAGAUGUUGAAAUGUUGAGAUAGCUCCCCUACUUCAUGCAUUCUGUUUAGGUGAAGCAUUCCAGACAGACAUUGACCUGAAGAGGGCUCCAGUGUGGUGUGUAGUGACUGUGAGAGCAGGAGACCACUGGCAGAUUUGUAGCUUGGAGACUUUGUCUAACAGACAUGGGACCGAAUAUGAUUAACUUAGCAGAAGUAAAUAAAAUGUUACCAUUUCAAUGAACUUUGUUAU
rnacentral:lncRNA from 1 species